rnacentral:rRNA from 1 species
AGUGAACGCUGGCGGUAGGCCUAACACAUGCAAGUCGAACGGCAGCACAGUAAGAGCUUGCUCUUACGGGUGGCGAGUGGCGGACGGGUGAGGAAUACAUCGGAAUCUACUUUUUCGUGGGGGAUAACGUAGGGAAACUUACGCUAAUACCGCGUACGACCUACGGGUGAAAGCAGGGGAUCUUCGGACCUUGCGCGAUUGAAUGAGCCGAUGUCGGAUUAGCUAGUUGGCGGGGUAAAGGCCCACCAAGGCGACGAUCCGUAGCUGGUCUGAGAGGAUGAUCAGCCACACUGGAACUGAGACACGGUCCAGACUCCUACGGGAGGCAGCAGUGGGGAAUAUUGGACAAUGGGCGCAAGCCUGAUCCAGCCAUACCGCGUGGGUGAAGAAGGCCUUCGGGUUGUAAAGCCCUUUUGUCGGGAAAGAAAAGCAGCAGGUUAAUACCCCGCUGUUCUGACGGUACCCAAAGAAUAAGCACCGGCUAACUUCGUG